rnacentral:lncRNA from 1 species
CCAUGUUACUGAGCCUUUAACAUGGUGCUUUGGAGUUUGUCUUCUAUCUGGAGUUUGCCUGUGUUUUGAAGUUUGUGUUCUUGCACCACAAGUCUCCGUCAGCAAGUGUCUAUCUUAUUUAACUUCAUAUACCCUGCUUUUGAGAACCUCAAUCAUAAGACAUUUAAGCAACAAAGAAUUGCUUCAAUCAACCUCAAGCACUCAUCAGGUCAUCAUUGGUUAUUACGAAAUGUAGAGAACCCAGGAAGGAGUGGUGGUCCAGAUCAGCCCAUGUGCAUCCAGAUAUACAUCCUGACCCAGAGGCUUGGGCAAACCUGCCCAACCAAGGUCUGCUCAGGAAACUGCUGCACAGAUGCCCCAGCUUCAGUGAGAAGCCUGCCCCGCAGAAUGGGGAACUAAGAAGACAUUGAUUCCUAAAAUUAUGAAACAAAGGCCUUGAAGUUUAUUGUGCCAAACCUCAAAUUUUACUGGGUACAGCAGUUAGGUUCUUCUGAUUGACAUAAGACAACCUAAGCCUACAUGUAGUGCUGGUGACUAUUGAUCCAACCACAACUGAAAAAUGCCACAAUAUGAGGAAUGUUGGUUUAUUAAAGGAAAGGAAAGCUGCUCAUAUCAUGGCAGCCAGGAAGGAAUAGAAAAGGAAAGAGUUGGAGAGGAAAGGACCAGGGAUGAUAUAUAGACCCCAAGGUCAUGCCUUCAUAAUGCAUUUUGGUCAAGCAGGCCCCACCUCCUAAAUUUCCAACACUACCCAAGAAUACUGUCAAAUUAUGAUUUCAUCAAUGGACUAAUCUGAUGAAGUUGGAGCUUUCAUGAUCUAAUCACCUAAAAGUUCUUCCUCUGAAUGCAUGAGAAUUGGGGUCAUUUUUGAUCUAAACCACAACAGAUGUCAUGAACUGAUAAGACUACUGAAAAAAUGUAUUUUUGGUUAAAGCCAUGAAAAUAACCUUUUGGAAGUAUGGGUCUGAUGUGACUACAUAAUACCCAGAUGGAGAGACAGCAGUGGUACAGUUCGAGGAACCAUAAUCUGAAAAUCUGAAAUCUUAAAAGCACCAAAUUUUAAAACUUUUUGACCACCUAUAUGAUUCCAUAAGUGGAAAAACUACACUUAAGCUCAUGUUAUAGGUUGCAAUUAGCACAUAGAUUCACUAAAAAUAUUGCAUGAAAUUUCCUUCAGGCUAUGUAUAGAAGGUGUAUAAGAAACAAAUGUAUUUCAUGUUCAUAUUUGCAUCCCAUUCUGAAAUUUUUGUUAUGUAUAUAAGAACAUUCCAAAAUUGAAACAAUUCUAAACUAUGAAAAAG